AAGAUCUUAAGUUAAUCCAAAACUAAAAGACUUCAAACCUUUCAAUAUGAGUAUAAAUCUCCUAGGUCUUA
rnacentral:tRNA from 1 species